rnacentral:rRNA from 1 species
CAGUUCGGAUCGAAGUCUGCAACCCGACUUCGUGAAGCUGGAUUCGCUAGUAAUCGCGCAUCAGCCAUGGCGCGGUGAAUACGUUCCCGGGCCUUGUACACACCGCCCGUCAACGCCAUAGAAAGGCCGGGGUACCUGAAGUACGUAACCGCAAGGAUCGUCCUAGGGUAAAACUGGUAAUUGGGGCUAAGUCGUAACAAGGUAGC